GCGGGUGUAGCUCAAUGGUAGAGCGGAAGCUUCCCAAGCUUAUGACGAGGGUUCGAUUCCCUUCACCCGCUCCA
rnacentral:tRNA from 1 species